GAAGAGUGGUCUACGGUCCUCUCCAGACGCGAUAACAUCACUGCGGUUACGAAUUGGCAAGGUGGAUAGAUGCCAAAUAUGUGGUACAUGCUGUUUUGUUUAGCAUUGCUACAUUAAACAGCUAAUAUUUUGAAUAUGUGGCUCUCCAUUCAGAUGCACUACUGUUUUAGUUGGAACAGGGAAAGCCCCGCACGCAUUUCUAUUCAGACAACGUGCCUGUGUGCCAUGAACGAUGCCUGAAAAAGGGCAGCGAGAUUUAAAAAGCACCGACUGCAGGAGAGAUUUCUGAGGAGCAGAAGAAUACAUCGGUGCCACUGCAAGGAUUCGGCAACAGUCAAGUCACCGCAGUGGAGAGGAGCACAGCCACUGUCUCCAGUCCAUCAGUGUUGUCGAUACCAGUAGACCAAUGGCACUUGAUGGAGACAGCACACACAGAAGCACCGGUCCAGUCCCAUAAUAACAACAGUGUGGAGUGUGCCUUCAGGCCCUGGACAAAGCCAUUAUAACACAACAAUCAUACAUCAGGUGAUCAGGCGGAAAGAGGACGCUGUAGGCUCUAUCUCUGUCUCUCCGAUUACAGAUUAAACCACCGAACAUACGUCAUACCCACAUCAAGCUUUCUAAAAGCUCAGCCCACAGUGGAAAGGGUGGGUUGAAUAUGCACACCUGCACAGCCACAGCACGCAGCUAAAUGAGUGGCAGUGGCAGACGCAUACAGCCUUGGCUUAACACAUACACACAUUAAAUGAGCAGGACAAAGCGAGCGGGACAGAUGCUGCCCCUGCCCCACUUCCUCUAGUCGUCACACAGCCAGCUGGAAAGAACAUGGGAUUUGGAGCUGAUUGGUUUUGUCUUUUUUUGUUGUCGUGACCUCUGUGAACCGCUGUCACCGUUUUCUUAACAUGGCAUCUUCACUUCUUUCUUAUCUAUAAAAAUCAGUUUUCAAUACAGACCACUGGGCAUGCUUUGACUGCUUCUCAAAAACUGAAAAUUAUUAGCAUUUUUUUCAAUCUCUCCCUGGACACAGCAAAAAAAAGGCUCUCACCGGGACUGUGUCGUGACUUUUUUAUUUGAGCUGUUUUAAAUGCAUUGCUUCUGCCAUUAAGAGUUGAAAAAGUUUGUAUCUGGCAAAAGUUUAAUGAAACCAUUCUUAACUGCUAUUCACCAGGAUCCUUACCAAACAAGCAAGAACAAUAGAUUGAAUAGGACUGCAGUAGUAAAGCAAAACCUUGAGAAAACGGGAAGAUAUAAAGUGUGGUAACAUUAAGAGACAGAAGAGGAAUAGUCAAGAGAAACCUCAAAGAAGUCAGAUCAAACGAAAACAUGAGGAUAAAAAAACAUAGCCUGAGAAAGUUUUUUUCCUUGUAACUCUCUUGUAGUCAUGAUGGAACACCCUUGGAGCCAGACGUCCUCCUUGUGUCUCCUCCUCCUCGGUCGCCCCCUCCCCUCAGCCCUCCCUCUCUCCUCGACUGUGCUCUAGUCCGCACGCUCUCCACAUCGCUCCAGUGCAUCGACAGCCACUGAACACCACACACACCGCUCCUGCAGCUUCUACAGAUGGCUGCCAAACUUAAGAGGAACAGCUUCUAUCAACACAGCACACUGGAUUUGGAUGAGAAUGAACAUCGGAGCUAGCCAGAGGGAAAAGAAAGAGACGAGGUGCAGUGGAGGCCAGAAAGGGGAGCGAGAGAAGAAGCGUAAUUAAAGGCAGAGUUCAGGAGUGGAAAAAUCUGGAGUGGAGCUUAUCUGCAGGACAGCUCGCGUGGGGCAGGCAUUGUGGGUGAUCCCGUGGUGCACAGUGUGAGCCAGGGGGUGGUCCCAGUCACAGUGAGCAGGUCUUGGUGGUGGCUCAGUGGAGGCCGUGGGCUCAGGACAGUGGCAGGCUCAGGGGUGGGGGCAUGGCC